rnacentral:rRNA from 1 species
CUCGACUACCUGGCGCGCCACGCCCCCGCCGACCACCCGCGCGCCUUCUUCGCCGACGCCUUCCCCGCCGUCUUCUACCGCCUCUUCGUCUCCUCCCCGUCCUCCCCCUCCUUCCUCGACCUCGCCGCCGCCGGCCCCGACCCGGACCCCGCGCUCGCCGGCCUCCUCCUCGCCCUCCUCGCCCCCUCCGGCCCGCUCCUCGCCGCCGCCGCCGCCGCCGACCGCCGCGCCCUCAUCCGCUUCGCCUUCCCCUCCGAGCGCCUCCCCUACUGGCUCCGCGUCGCCCUCGCCGACUCCGACGCCGACGCCCCCGGCCGCGCCCUCGCCUCCCCGCUCCUCGCCGCCCGCGUCGGCGCCGAGCUCCACCUCUCCGUCUUCGAGUACUUCCUCUUCUGGUUCGCAUACUACCCCGUCUCCUCCGCGGAUCCCGCCGCCUCCGCCUCCGCCCCGACCCACAAAUCGCGCUCCCGCAUCGAGUCCUGGGUCUCCACCCUCGCGCCCACCACCGCCGGCACCCGCAAGCCGGGCCAGAAGCCGGAGCCCUGUCUGUACCUCAAGCUGCUCUACGCCUACCUCAGGGAGUUCGUGCCGACGGCCGCGUGCACGCCGGUGCGCCGGCUCACCGGCACCCUCCUGCAGCGCACCGCCAGCGAGGAAGGCGCAGACGCCGCUGACCCUUUUGCUCGCGCCGAGUUCUUCCUCCACACGCUCGUCCAGUUCUGGCUCGUGGGGGACGACUUCUCGCCGCUGCCCGUGCAGACGUACCGUGCGUUCGGACUCAAGCUGCCCUCCCGGGCUCGCGCCGAGCUGAGCGAGCAGCCGCCGUCCCCUGGGCUCGGGGAUGCGGUCAAGCUGCUCGUCAUGUACCUGAACUGCUGUGUCGGUGGUCCUGCACGCAUGGUGUUUGAAGGAAUGACAGCGAGGAAUGUGGUCUGCGAUAGCCAGGUUGGAUUCUGGAAUCCCCUGAUACAGAGGCCUAUGUAUCGGUUUGUGUUGAGGGCCUUCUUGUUCUGCCCCAUUGGCGCGGUGAUAAAAAAUGCGACGCAAGUCUUCUCUGUGUGGUUGGCAUAUAUGGAGCCAUGGAAGGUUACGCAAGAGGACCUGGAUGAGUAUGAUGUGUCCCGGAUGCAGGGGACGGACACACAGGUGAUGAAGAAAGGGGAGCUGCUGUAUACUCCAUCGUGGAAGAGUUAUGUGCUGUCCAAUUACCUGUUCUAUAGCUCGAUGGUGGUGCAUUUCCUGGGUUUUGCACACAAGUUUAUCCAUUCUGAUGUCUCCUCAGUGCUCGUGAUGAUUUUAAAGGUAUUGGAAGUCUUGUCUUCGUCAACAGAACUGGUGGAUCUUCUAUAUAAAGUGGAUAUUGCCUAUCAUUCUAAACUGGUUACUUCACCGUCAACUUCUUCAGAAUCAGAUGACAUAAUCAAGUAUGUUCCGUCAAUCCGUGAGCAGCUAAAGGAUUGGGAGGAUGGUCUGACAGAAACUGAUGCAGAUGGAUCUUUCUUGCAUGAGCAUUGGAACUCUGAUCUAAGACUUUUCAAUAGUGGUGAGGACGGGGCUUAUCAUCUGCUUCAGCUCCUUCUGAUCCGAGCAGAGCUGGAGAUACAACGCCUGCCAGGCGACACAGUACAAGCUCUCCAGUCGUUGGAUCUGAUAAAAUCCCGGAUGAAAAAGAUCUUCCAGGGCCGCAUUGAAGGCAUCCACCACCAGAAUACUUCAGCGCAAGAGUUGCAGCAUCAACAUCCAGGGCGCGGCGAGAUAUUUACACCUAAGCAUCCCCAUUCGGGGAGGAGCAAGUUUGGCGAAGUAAGAUACAGAGGCGACUGGAUGAAGAGGCCCAUCUCGGAGACUGAAGUGGCCUGGCUCGCGAGGAUCCUUAUCCACAUCUCUGACCGGCUGAACGACGCCCUUCGACUUGGCUGCGACGGUGCUGCUGAUGAUAGCGUUGCUAACCCGACGUACAUCAAGUUUGACAGGAGUGAUCUGACGACAAUAGGGGGACCGAAGGACGCCGCUAGGAUGGCUCUCGUGGCUAUCUGUUCGCUGCUGGCGGUUGUGGGACAGGCGGUGCUGAGGUUCAUGAGGGCGCACAGGGUAAAGAUCAAUCUUAGAGUUUUUGCUUCGAAGAAGCUGCUGACUGGCCUCGUGUUGCUGUACGCGAUGGUGGCGGGGACAAAGAGAGCUUUUUUUUGA